rnacentral:rRNA from 1 species
AUUGAACGCUGGCGGCAGGCCUAACACAUGCAAGUCGAGCGGACGACGGGAGCUUGCUCCUUGAUUCAGCGGCGGACGGGUGAGUAAUGCCUAGGAAUCUGCCUGGUAGCGGGGGACAACGUUUCGAAAGGAACGCUAAUACCGCAUACGUCCUACGGGAGAAAGCAGGGGACCUUCGGGCCUUGCGCUAUCAGAUGAGCCUAGGUCGGAUUAGCUAGUUGGUGAGGUAAUGGCUCACCAAGGCGACGAUCCGUAACUGGUCUGAGAGGAUGAUCAGUCACACUGGAACUGAGACACGGUCCAGACUCCUACGGGAGGCAGCAGUGGGGAAUAUUGGACAAUGGGCGAAAGCCUGAUCCAGCCAUGCCGCGUGUGUGAAGAAGGUCUUCGGAUUGUAAAGCACUUUAAGUUGGGAGGAAGGGCAGUAAGCUAAUACCUUGCUGUUUUGACGUUACCGACAGAAUAAGCACCGGCUAACUCUGUGCCAGCCGCCGCUGUAAAAC